GACGAACCGUGCGAACGUUUAUUCGGAAUCAUCGUGGCUUAAAGCGCGUGUGAGGCGGGCCGCCACGUCGGAUCUGCUGAAAUCCCCCGGACUCAACCGGGGAACGGGCACCGAUACGUAGCGGGCCUGGAGGGGGUGAGGGGGAGCCUGGAACGUUCCGGAUUGGAGGCGGUGGAAAUGACGUUGAGAUCGGAAGGAACGCCCGGAUGGCCGAAAGGCGAAGGUCCGUGGACCCUUUCGUGAACGCUGAGACGGCGAAAAGCCAGGGGAGG
rnacentral:rRNA from 1 species